rnacentral:rRNA from 1 species
AGGUUCCAAAUUAUUGUUAAGUGAAAAUAAGGUAGUGUUUAUCCAAGCCAACCAGGAAAUGGGCUUAGGAGCGGCCAUUUUUUAAAGAUCUCGUAACAGAGCACUGGUUUUAUACAUUUUUGUAUGUAUUGUUAGAUGCACCUAAAAUUUAACGGAUCUAAAUAAUAUACCGAGACCUUGUCCAUAAAUAUUUGUAUGUACAAGUUACAUAUAAUAUUUAUGGGGUAGCGGAACAUUGGGCAUAUCUCAGAUUUUUUCUUUUUAAGACUUAAGAUUAGAUGACCCAAGUGAUAAUGCUGACAUGAGUAACGAUAAAGGGUUUAUACCCUCGCCUAAAGCUUAUGGAAUUUACUUAAAGUAACGGCCUCUAAGUUUAAAUUUGCUAUAGUUUAAACAAACAACACUUGAUACCUAACUCUAACAGACGAUACAAGUGCAAAAUAGUAAACACCUAAUGGUAUAAACGAUGAGAAAAAGCUAAGUUUUACAGAUAUAAAUAGCAUGAGUGUUGCAGGUAGGUAUUAUAUAUAUAAUGGAUUUUUUUUUUAUUCUUUUUAUGCGUUAUUUUCCUUUGCACUAUUCC